GGGGAUGUAGCUCAGAUGGUAGAGCGCUCGCUUAGCAUGCGAGAAAUAGGGGGAUCGAUACCCUGCAUCUCCA
rnacentral:tRNA from 1 species